ensembl:lncRNA
UAGAAUCUGUGGUCGGGUCUAAACAGGCAGUGAUAUAGAAUCUGUGGUCGGGGCUAAACAGGCAGUGAUAUAGAAUCUGUGGUUGGGUCUAAAGAGGCAGUGAUAUAGAAUCGAUGGUCGGGGCUAAACAGGCAGUGAUAUAGAAUCUGUGGUCGGGUCUAAACAGGCAGUGAUAUAGAAUCUGUGGUUGGGUCUAAAGAGGCAGUGAUAUAGAAUCGAUGGGCGAGGCUAAACAGGCAGUGAUAUAGAAUCUGUGGUCGGGGCUAAAUAGGUGUAACCCCUCUCUCCCGGGUCCACACCGCCACACCUCGUACUUGCUCCGAGUGGGCCUUGAACCCGGGUCUCCGGCAUGGGAGACGGAUUCACUAACAAGGAGGCUAAAUGACUGCAGCCACCAGCGUCAGUCGCUAGUGUGUCUCUCGAGAUCAGGGGAGUGAGGUUUACCUGCACAGCACCUACUCGCUGGCCUCUGUUACACUCACCCCCCUAAACCUCACUCCCAUCCGGGUCACGGCACCAAUGUAACCCCUCUUUCCCGGGUCCACACCGCCACACCCGAUUCUAUAGAAUCUGUGGUCGGGGCAAAAGAGGCAGUGAUACAGAAUCUGUGGUCGGGGCAAAACAGGCAGUGAUUUAGAAUCUGUGGUCGGGGCUAAAG